GUUUUUCAACAGACUUCCACCAGAGUUGGCCAAACAGUGUCAAAAUGUGUUCUCCAACACUGCAUCCAGAGUUUUCAACACUGAAAAAGAUCAGCUGAGCCUCCUGAAGCAAGAUGGAUUGCAAGAGCACCCAGUGCUAAUGAUGCUUUUGGAGGUUAUAGCAAAUGCUAUAGCAAAAAAUCUGAGUAAAGAAACCCAAGGGCACACAUCAGUUGGUUUGGGCAGCAUUGCGGAUGUCCUCAAGCAUGUGACACCACAGCAACUGCAAAAAAAUUAUCCAGACAUCCCACUAGAGGACUUUGUGAGACCAAAAAUACAUUUGCUCAUAAGCCACAGGGAAUGUCAACUAGCGCCACAGAGGAAGAGAGCUGUUGGAGGUCUAGUGCUGUGGGAGGGACCACUAGGAAAGGCUGUCGGAGGUUGUCAUCCUGAGUUGUUUGAGGAGCUUAGCAUGUCAGCCCACAUGUCCAAAACACACUUCGCAAGGUCCAUGAGAGCAGCUGCUUUAAACUAUGAGAAGCUCACUGAUGGAGUCACUGAACAUUCCCCACCAAGCAAAGAGGUCGUGGUCAAGGUCCAUGAGUCAUGUACAUCAACCAUAAAUCAGGACUUCUUGGACUGGUGGAAGUGGGAUAGUAUUGGAGCAGCAUGCGAGCCAAAGUGCGGAGGGUGCCGCUGUGGAAUCUGUCAGCCAGACAGAAAAGAAAUGACUCUUGCUGAGGAAAGAGAGCCUGAGGUGGUAAGGGAAGGUCUCACCUAUGUCACAGGAGACAGCCACAGCAAAGACCCACAUUGGCCUGCCAGCUAUCCUUGUUUGGAGGACCCAGCUUCUAUACCAAAUAACAAAUGGACGGUUGAAGACACAUUUCUCAGGACAGAGAAACAGCUUUCUAGAGAACCUGAGUGGAAAAGUGCCUAGACGGCUCAGGUGCACGACAUGGUAGACCGAAAAGCUGCAAUGAAAUUGUCUGAAGAUGACAUUGGCAACUGGAAGGGACCAGUGUGGUACGUGAGUCACCUUAUUGCCAUGCAGCGUGCAGAAUUGAUGACAACACCCGAAUGGCAGCCGG
rnacentral:lncRNA from 1 species